GUUGGGACUAUCCCUAUAAAAUCAGGACAGCUGGUCACCCUAUUACCAAGAGGGCCAUAUCUCAGCCUUUACUAAUCUGCUGGUCAUUGAAGCUCACAGCAACUUCUAAGCUGCUAAAUGCCAGGGAUGCAGGUGUCAGUCACAAAUAGAGCAUCUCACCUACAGAAAAUGUUUUUUCACCCACAUUUUGGCUGCAGACCUAUUACGAAUGCUGCUUGGAGGGUGUCUCAGUGUUUGUAUUGCUCUGCAACCAACAAAGCAGUCUGAGAGAGGAAAAGAGGGUUGGGCUGGACAAGGGGAAGGGGCAGGUCUCCCACCAUCCUGGGCCUGAUCUAAAGCCAACUGAAAUCAGUGAAACACUGACACUGAUUUCCAAGGGGGUUGCAUCAGGCUCUUUGAGCUCUGUGAGGCCAAGGAAAGUCAGCAGGGAAAGACUAGAGAUAUGUGGCAACCAAGUGAACCCUUCUGAGCACCCUGUGUUCUCAUUCAGCAAAGUCAUACCAAUGUACCCUGACAUGAAUUAAAUGCAACAACAGCUCCUGUCAGGUCAAAGUUGAUCCACUGCUGGCUUCCCUUCUGCUGAAAACAACAAACCAACUUCUCACAAGUCUUGCUGAUGCUGCUGUUUUGUAUGUCAGAAGACAGUCUGCAGGUGCAAUUAGAAUUUUCUCCCAAUUCCCUAAUCUAUGCUGAGUGCCUUGUUUGGGGCACCUCCCAGGCUCAGGCUCUAAGAGCUCAGAACAAUCUACUAGUGUCAACAGGCUGACUGCAACAAAACUGGUCCCACCAGAAUUCAUGUGCAAAGCUGAAUUUAUGCUUUGCUCUCCAUCUCAUUAACUUUUCCUGAACUUAAAUUACUUGAGACUAUGUUCCCUGAGUUACUAGUACAUUUAUAGACCUAUCCACCAAGCCCUGUAAAUACCAUAUUACAGCUCAGUUUGAUUCUAAACUGUGGCAUAACUCCCCCAUGCCUCUAUGCUUUGAAAACAAGUGAAGCUUGUCUGUUAUCCAAGUGUAUGUAUUUAACUGGUUUGUAGUAAGUCUGUAACAAUGAAUGGCUUACGCAACACUAUAUAAAUUGAUUCCAAUAAUGUUUUAAUGUAAUUACUUUGUAUAUAUUUGUACAUUUUUAAGAACUAUCAUGCCAUUUGUUUCCUAACUCCCUUAUUGUCUCUGAAUAAUGCUAGUUCAAAAAUUAAAAUUGGAUUUUCAAUCUGAUUGUAAAUAUUUAAAAGAUCUGCUGAAAAGGAGCCAAAUCCUUGUAGGAUUUAGUAUGGUGAAUUAUUAAUUAAACAAAUCAGUAUUAAGAACAA